rnacentral:lncRNA from 1 species
UCUGAUAUAUAUAAUCCUAAGACUCAAAACAUUUUUUUGUUCUAGACUCAACAACGCCAGCAAACAAUCAAGCAGGGGGCUCCUAAGUCGGGGAUGGCUCUGAUUACCGACUUGUCACGCCCAAUAUGCGACCCUAUCCAAAAGGAACUCGAAGGUCCCACCAAGGAUAGACCCGCAUAUUGAAACGCUUUUGCAAGGUGGAUAUCAUUACAUAAUAGAUGGGGAUACAUACAUAAGGCAUACAAUGCCACACGAAUACAACAUCACAAUACAUAAGAGCAUCAUCCAACUAUGGAUGAACACAAAUAGAAACUCAAAUGACAUCCACCCUGCUAGCCCAGGCUGCCGACCUGGAACCUAUCCCCUGAUCGAAGAAGCAGAAGAAGAACUCAACGCAAGCAAGCAUCGCUCUCGCGUCAUGACCAUCGCAAAACCUGUACCUGCAACUGUUGUUGUAGUAAUCUGUGAGCCACGAGGACUCAGCAAUCCCAUUUCCAUGGGUAUCAAGACUAGCAAAGCUUAAAGGGAAAGGAAGGGGUAAAGUGGUGAGGCUGCAGCAGCGACUAAGCAUAUAUGGUGGCUAACAUACGCAAAUAAGAGCGAGAAGAGAGCAAGCAGAACGGUCGUGAAGCUAGCAAUGAUCAAGAAGUGAUCCUGAACUCCUACUUACGUCAAACAUAACCCAAAACCGUGUUCACUUUCCGGACUCCGUCGAAAAGAGACCAUCACGGCUACACACACGGUUGAUGCAUUUUAAUUCGGAUCUGGUGUCAAGUUAUCUACAACCGGACAUUAACAAAUUCCCAUCUGCCUAUAACCGUAGGCACGGCUUUCGAAAGAUUAUACCCUGCAGGGGUGUCCCAACUUAGCCCAUGACAAGCUCUCGCGAUCAAUGAAGGAAUAGACCUUCUCCCAGGAAGACCCGAUCAGACUCGGAAUCCCGGUUUACAAGACAUUUCGACAAUGGUAAAACAAGACCAGCAAAGCCGCCCGAUGCGCCGACAAUCCCGAUAGGAGCUGCACAUAUCUCGUUCUCAGGGCAACACCGGAUGAGCAAUCCGUACAACUAAAACCAGACCUCAAGUUUCCCUGAGGGGGCGCUGCAAAGGGCUCUAGUUCGGACCAACACUUAGAAAAGCACUGGCCCGGGGGGCUAUAAUAAAGAUGACCCUCGAGAGAGCGACUCCCAAGGGAAAAGUAGGUGGUGGUGAGGCAAAUGGUAAAACCAAGGUUGGGCCUUGCUGGAGGAGUUUUAUUCAAAGCGAACUGUCAAGGGGGUCCCAUAAAUCACCCGACCGCGUAAGGAACGCAAAAUCCGGGAACAUAACACCGGUAUGACAGAAACUAGGGCGGCAAGAGUGGAACAAAACACCAGGCAUAAGGCCGAGUCUUCCACCCUUUACCAAGUAUAUAGAUGCAUUAAUAAUAUAAGAGAUAUUGUGAUAUCCCAACCAAAAUCCUGUCCACCAUGGAGCAAUCUUCAACUUCACCUGCAACUAGCAACGCUAUAAGAGGGCUGAGCAAAGCGGUAACAUAGCCAAGCAGUGGUUUGCAUAGGAAAGGUGUCAAAGGUUAGAGGCUGACAUGGCAAUUUGGGAUGGCUUGAUAAACAGGUAAUAGGUAGCGCAGCAUAGCGAUAGAACGAAGCAACUAGCAUAGCAAUGAUAGUAGUGAGAUCCAGGGUAGCGGUCAUCUUGCCUGAAAUCCCGCUAGGAAGAAGAACGAGUCCAUGAAGAAGACAGACGAACGUAGUCGAACGAAUCCUCACAACUCCGGAACGAAACCGAAGGCAACCCGGAAAGAAGCAAACAACAUGGUAAACACAGAGGCAUAGUCAUGGCAUGAUGCACAAUCAUGUAUGAUGCAUGUCCGGUUUAAUGAGGCAUGGCAUGGCAAUAUGCACAAACAACACUACAAGUUAAGUGGAGCUCAAUAUGCAACGAGUUGCAUAUUGACGGAACACCACAUCAAUUAUUUAGUUCUCUCUCGGUUAGGCUACCCAACAAUAUUAAAUGUUAUUAAACAUGGCAAGGGGUGAAGCAUAAUUGAACUACAUAUUUAGGCAAGUUUAAAUGAGGCCGGAAACAACAAACAACAAUUCCGGAAAGUCCCCAUGUCAUUUAGUAGUUUAAGGCAAACACAAUUUUAACCAUUUUAAUUGUUGUUAUCAUGAUGCGGAUGACAUAAUCAAGGUUUAUGCAAUUUUUAUGAAAAUGUUGACAUGAGCAUGAUACGAGG